rnacentral:hammerhead_ribozyme from 1 species
GUUCAACUGACGAGUCCCAAGUAGGACGAAAUGUGCGUCCUGGAU